rnacentral:lncRNA from 10 species
AGCAGCCAUAUUAGAGUGAAGAGGCCUGGUUGUGGAGGGCUGUGCGCUCAGCGUGGAAUUAUAGCAGUUCAUUUUCUAAAGUGCCACGAGACCUGGGGAUGAACCUUCCGAGAGAAGGGAAAACCACAACAGCAGUCCCCUCGUAGAGAUGCAAUUCAUCAUGGGCAGGACGGCUGGGUCUGUCAACAGGAAGGGCUCUUUUCCCUGUGACGCACAAAAGCAAUCCCACGGGCUCUGUGUUGCAGCAAGAGGACCCUGAACUCCCUCAGACACCCUGGCUGUGUGCAGGGAGCCUCCGAAAUCCAGAGACGGGAGGCAUGCAUCGCCAUGUGAGCACCGAGCGGAGGCAUAAUGGGACUCCAGUUCCUAUGCCCCCACCAUAUUUUCUCUCUAAUUAAGAGUGGGGAUAGUUUGUGGUGAGGGUAGUUUGCAGUGGGAGUGAGACCCAUUUAUUUUGUUUCUUGUUAUUUUUUCAUUGAGAUGUAACUUAGAAGUAGUCUCAGGAAUAAGAGGGACACUUUUGCUUCCUGGUAAACAGAGGCUAGCAGUCUACUAAUAACCUGGCUAAGAGACCAGGCAAGGUAGCAGCUGCCAUCCUGAACACCACUGCAUCAGCUCAGCCACCUCCCAGGAGUGAGUCCAGCCAGGAGUGAGACCUUGUGACCCCACAGAGCCCACAAUACCCCACAAUGGAGCAGGGAGCACCAGCCGGAACUCACCCCUGCUGCCAUUCCUCCUCCUACCAGCAAGCCUCUAGCGACAUCUCUGAACAUGGUCUCUCCCUGCUCACACUCAGCUAUGCAGAGCGGGAAAAGGUACAACCUUCAGAACGUUCUGCUUAGCUACUACGCUCUAACCCGGUGGAUAAAGGAUAACCAGCAUCCCCUGUCAGGACACAGGGAGCUGUCCUGCAGAGCUGGCUCUACAUCAGAUCUGAUCUGAAUGCACUUGUUCUAAAACGCUUCAUCAAAAGAUUAACUGCAUGCUCUUCCUUCAGCGUUUCCUGUCCAAAACAAGCACUGGGGAUUCUGAGGAACCUCUGAGGAGCACCCUGCCUUUACUUGCAGUUCUUCCAGAGGAAUCUAAAGAAGUUGGAAUGGAAAGCAAAAGAACACUGCCAUAUUUUUACCAGGUGGCCCCACCACGCGCUACACAGACCAAGAGAGUGAACAUGUCCUUGUUCUUAAAGAGCUCACAAAUGAAUAUCUUUUUUUUUCCCUGAGACUGAUUCUUGCUCUGUCACCCAGGCUAGAGUGCAGUGGCGCGAUCUUGGCUCACUGCAAUCUCCACCUCCCGGGUUCAAGCAAUUCUCCUGCCUUGGCCUCCCAAGUAGCUGGGAUGACAGGCGCGAGCCACCAUGCCUGGUUAUUUUUUUUUUUUUUUUGUAUUUUUAGUAGAGACGGGAUUUCACCAUCUUGGCCUGGCUGGUCUUGAACUCCUGACCUCGUGAUCUUCCCACCGCAACCUCCCAAGGUGCUGGGAUUAUAGGCGUGAGCCGCCGUGCCUGGCCUGAAUAUUCUUAAACAAGGAGUGAAACAGAAAUAGUGUGUUCCUGUAUUUCAGAAUGACAAAGGAAACCAGGAACACUUGCAGGUUAAUAAGUCCAUCCCCCUGUCUCAGAGCAGAGUUCUCUGCUGAAAGGGCUACAGACUGACACCUUCUGUUUGAGGUCCACCCUAAUCGAAGUCCAUCUCUGGACUUUCAACCUGAAGUUCCGGUGCUGUUUCAGGCUCCAUGAACCAUGUGUGAUCAAAACACUCUAAGGAAUUAGUGGUUUUCUCACAUGCACUCCUUGACAUCUGUUCUUUAGCCUGCCAGCCAUAUUUGAUGCUAAGGGAGAAAGAGAGAGCUGUCUCCCAAACAGAAUCCUUUGCCAUACAUCUAUCGUGUAGUGUUGACAGUCCUUCUUGCAGUGUGGUGCGGGGGCAAUGAUAUCUCUGUAAAAAUUCUCACUAGGAUCCAAUGAUUUAUUUAGCUAACAGCUAAGUUAAUUAUGUCAGUUUGACAAUUUCAAGAGGGAAGGAAAAACACACAUGGGCUGGAUGAGGAGAUUGUCUCCGUAAUAUUUUAUACCAGGACAUGGUUAGGAAACCCAAUGAUUUCUUGGUACAAAUCUCUAAGCGAUCAAACAUUCCCCUAUAAUCAAGACCAUCACUAAGUUUUAAAAGAAAUAUAUUUUCCCCCACAACUGAAACGGGUGAAGUAAGGCAAAAACACCAAGCGAAAAAUAAGCAUUCGGUUUUCAAGUAAUGGACUGUUUCCUCUGGAAGGAGAAGGGAAUCUGGGUGUCUGGAUCCCGGUUUCUGCUCUGCUUCUUAGUGGCCCUCUCUUCACCUUAGCUUUCUCAUCUGUACAGCAAAGGAUUGGCCAAGCAGGCAUCUAAGCCCUUACAGUUAUUGCCUGCCAGGAUGCCAUAUGAUCAUGGAUGUUCAGUUUUCAGGACUCUGGGACAAGGAGUGGAGUCAGGUGAACACUGGGACUAAGCAGACAUCACAGGUUCUCUGCCUCAGAGCCAAAGCCACAUUCCCCGCCCUGGUCAGAGAAGGCCUUCCUUGUUUCUU